AUGAAUCUCAUGAGUUGGAACUGCCGAGGAGGGGGGAAUUCCCGGACAACUCGCGAGUUAGCGACGCUUGUUAGGUUGCUUUCCCCCAUGAUGGUCUUUUGUGAAACUAGACAGAAGGAUGAGAGGAUGAGGAGAUUGAGAGGGCGCUUGGGACUAAAUGGUUUCGAAGGUGUGGAUAGUAAUGGGCUCAGUAGUGGUAUCACCUUGUUUUGGCAUGAGAGUUUGAUGGUUCAUGUUUUGGACAAAGAUGAUCGAUUCAUAGAUGCUACUGUUCGCGUGCAUGCAGAUGCUGAACAAUGA
rnacentral:rRNA from 1 species